ensembl:lncRNA
UCCUCUCAGUCUACAAGGUGGAGGUGGAUUCAGGGGUGGAGUCUGUCCUGCUCCCCUGCAAAACUGUAGCUCAUCUGCCAGAAGACGUUAAAGUGGAGUGGAUGGACAGUGAUGACAAGAAGGUCCACGUGUAUCAGAGCAGCUCAGACCACUCGGAUGAAAAGCACCAGGUUUACAGAAACCGAACAGAAAUGAAGAGAAACCUGCUGAGAACUGGAGACCUCAGUCUGACCCUGAAACACCCAACAAAUGAAGACAACUCCACCUACACCUGCACCGUCUACAACAGGGAGGGAAACAUCCUGCUGCAGAAAGAUGUUCUCCUCGCUGUCAGAGUCCCCCAGGUGGAGGUGGAUUCAGGGGUGGAGUCUGUACAGCUGCCCCUUAAAACCACACUUCACCUGCCUGAAGACGCUAAAAUAGAGUGGAAGGACAGUGACGAUGAUCAUCUCCACGUUUAUGAGAAACGCUUUGAUCAGCUUGAACAACAGGACCAGGUUUACAAAGACCGAACGAAGAUGAAUGAAGACCUGCUGAGAACUGGAGACCUCAGUCUGACCCUGAAACACCCCACGGAUGGAGACAACAGGACCUACACCUGCACCGUCUACAGCAGGGAGGGAAACAUCCUGCUAAGGAAAAAAUUGGAGCUUAAAGUCAAAGUCCCCCAGGUGGAGGUGGAUUCAGGGAUGGAGUCUGUCCAGCUGCCCUUCAACACCACACUUCAUCUGCCUGAAGACGCUAAAGUGGAGUGGAUGGACAGUUCCAACUACAGGAAGGUCCACGUGUAUGAGAACGGCUCUGACCAGCCUGAAGAACAGGAUCAGGUUUACAGAGACCGAACGAAGAUGAAGGAAGACCUGCUGAAAACUGGCGACCUCAGUCUGACCCUGAAAUACCCCACAGAUGAAAACAACUACACCUACACCUGCACCGUCUAUGCCAAAGAUCAAACCAUUCUGCUGAAGAAACAAGUGGAGCUGAAAGUCAGAGUCCCCCAGGUGGAGGUGGAGGAGGGGGUGGAGUCUGUCCAGCUGCCCUUCAAAACCACACUUCACCUGCCUGAAGAUGCUAAAGUGGAGUGGAAAGACAGUUGCACAAUCCUCAGUAGUGAGUACCAAAGUAGACCAAACAACAGGAAGGUCCACGUGUAUGAGAACAGCUGUGACGAUCCUGAAGAACAGGACCAGGUUUACAGAGACCGAACAAAGACGAAUGAAGACCUGCUGAAAACUGGAGACCUCAGUCUGACCCUGAAAUACCCCACAAACUAUGACAACUUCACCUACACCUGCACCGUCUACAGCGUGGAGGGAAACAUCCUGAUAUUGAAACAAAUGGGGCUGAAAGUCAGAGUCUGUCAGGUGGAGGUGGAGGAGGGGGCGGAGUCUGUCCAGCUGCCCUUCAAAACUACAGAAAACCUGCCUGAAGAUGCUGGAGUGAGGUGGGAGGACAGUUCUUACAGAGCAGUUCACGUGUAUAAGAACGGCUCUGACCAGCCUCACAAACAGCACCAGGUUUACAGAGACCGAACGAAGAUGAAUGAAGACCUGCUGAACUCUGGAGACCUCAGUCUGACCCUGAAAUACCCCACAGAUGGAGACAGUAGGAGAUACAACUGUAGAGUCUGGAGAAAUGGAUGGAUCCGAAACAAAACAGUGCUGCUGAAAGUCAAAGGGAGAGUUCAGGUCCAGGAUCAAACAGGGGACAUCAGGAACAGAAGCAGCUCCAUUGAUCCGACUCCUCUGAUGGCUGAUCAAUCAGUUUGAUCUGUGUGUUCUUUGAUUAUUGAUCAGUGAUGUCAGAGUGGAGUCAGUGUGAUGUUGUUGUUGUGUGUUUGAGACUUUUAGUGUCCAUGAAGGUCUCUGCUGCCGUAGAUCCUCUGAACUGUGACAGAGGUCUCACUCUGGAGGAAACUCUCAGCACUUUCCAGCAGCUCCUCCAUCAUGGAGGACGUUCCCUCACUGUAACAGGUGGAGGAGAGGAAGCACAGGUGGAUCCUCUGAGGAAGAGGAGCGUUCCUACAAACCACAUGAUCACAUGACCAGAGGGGCGUGGCCUUCAGUGGUAGUGACAAAGGAACAGUCCACAUGUUCCACUUUGAAGGCUCAUCUUCAACAAAGCAGACCUGUGAUCACUUUAACUCAGUAUGAUGGAUUGUUUGGAUUUGUCUUUGUUUCUCUGGCUUUUCUUGUGUGUCUGUGUGUCUUUGUGUGUUGGAUAGAGUCAUGUGACCUGCCCAGGGACGACACAUGAGCAGCUCAAAUCUGGCAGGUUUCCAUCUCCUGUUUUUAUCCUGAUGUCCAUGAACAUGAACUCUGUCCUUGUCAAAUGAAUCCAGAUAAUCUGAUCCAGUGUUAUUCUUCUUCUGUGGUGUUUGUGAUGGAGCAGCAGCUCCUGAUCCUGAUGUCCUCAGCCAAGGGGCAAUAAAAUCAACUGACUUUCAUAAUUUAUUAAAAAAAAAAAAAGUAUGCUAGCAAUGUAACAUAAUGCAAUAUAAUAAUGUAAGUUACACAUUGUGGUUUGCACUGUUGCCAGAAUGGACAUUACCUCUUGCCUAAUGGAAGUUGUCAGCCAUCCUGCAACCAUGAAUUAGAUCAGCAGAAGUGAAGGGAUUGUUAAUAACGAUUUAAUAAUAAAAUGUAAUGUGAUAAUUUCACUUUAUUGUCUUCCCACGAUCGGUAUGCAUGGCAUGCUCAUAGCAAGUUUUUUUUAGGUUUAAAGUGAGAUCCUGCUUUAAAGGGCGCUUCAUCUGCUGGUAAUGACAUAUUUUUUCUAGUAUGUAAGGCACAGCCGAUCUUACUGGGACUUACUUUUGUAGAUCCAUAUGCUCUAAACCUGGUGCUUCAAUGAUUGGUGCAGAAGCUUUAAGCUACUAUUAACAAAUAAUAACCAUGGGAUUAGUUGUUACUACAAUAACUUAUCAUUGGUCAACUUGUAUAUUUAAUUUUACUUGUACUUGUAAAACUAUGCAAGUAGAAUUCAAUGGGGCAGAGUGACCUGAGCACAGGCCCACUCUGUGACACUCAGAGGUUUGUGGAUAUCAUCUGCAGGCGCACAUACUGGGAGUAUUGAACACAGUGCAUGUACAGCCAGCUUGCAGCCACUUUCCCACCACUUUAGGGCAAUGUUUACAGUAGACUCAGCCACACUAAUUUUCCUGGGGCAGACAUGUGGUGCAGCAUGGCUGAUGGCACUGUACCUGUAGCUGUCAUGAACAAGAACCACUCAACUACCUCACCCAAGCCAAGACUGUGCUGAUGUUGUGAUCUGAGACCAAGACACUAACCCAGGAUCAUGAUAUGAUGUUUUGAGAGUGGGUGGAUGAGCCGAUUCCACCUUAAAUAGGUGUAAAUAUGUAUCAUAUGUAAAUAACUGUUCACAACAACACAUGUUCUAUGAAGUUCCACAUUAAAAU